GCCAGGCAUGGUGGUGCAUGCCUGUAAUCCCAGCUACUUAGGAGGCUGAGGCAGAAGAAUUGCUUGAACCCGGGAGGCGGAGGUUGCAGCGAGCCGAGAUCAUGCAGCUGCACUCCAGCCUGGGUGACAGAGCGGGACUCUGUCUCAA
ensembl:misc_RNA Metazoa_SRP Metazoan signal recognition particle RNA